AGACCCACUUGACAAACAAGAAACAAUGGAGAAAGUCAUUUUCAUCUUCUGUGUAUUUUCUUAUUGGAUUAUGCAAAUCACGCCCAAUGCACCAGAAUCUUCUGAUCUGUUGAAAGUUCAGAUGGGAGAAGACAUCACUCUGAACUGCAGCAUGACUGACCGGAUUGAAGUCGCCUGGUUUCACCUCAAUUCUGAAAAACUCAAACUACUGAUUUCUGCAAAAAAAGACAGAACUGGAAGAAAACUCCUGAUAAUCUACAAACAAAACAGCACUCGUCUGAAAAUUACUGCAGACAGUUGGGUCACCACAGUCUCUCUUAUUAUUUCUGGAGCAUCAGAGUCAGAUUUGGGUUUUUAUUUUUGUGGAACAAAGUCUAACUCUCCAGAGAUGUUCUUCGACAAAACCAUCAGACUGGAGAUUGACGGACUUUUUGUAGCAGAAGAGUCAAAAGAAGUUGUUGACAUCACAGUAGAUGAGGUGACACCGACAGAGAGGAUGUUGAUGUUCGGUGGUGUUGGUCUGGCUGCGUUUGUGUUUUUUCUGACUACAGUCAUCGCAGGAUUAAUCAUUUACCAUCGUGGUUGGCAGAAAGGAUUGAAAGAAGCAAAACAUGAAGGUCUAGUUAAUUAAAAAUCAACUAAACAGCAUUAAUUUCAGCUUGUUUAUACAAUCUAACUCAAUAUAUCUGUUAAAAUUACUGUCUCAUUUCCUCUGUUUUGUGUUUUAGAAUACUUAUGUUGAUAUAUAUUUUCUGUUCCCAUUGUUCUUGUGUUUUACUUCCUGUUUUUGCUUAAUUUUCCUUAGUUCCUGGUUUGCUUCCAGAGUUACCCUCAUUAUUCUCCAUAGCAACCCAUAAUCUUUAUCUGGUGUUGUCAUUGAUGAUGUUUGUGUGUUCUAGCUCUGUUUUGUCCAGCUUGCCUGUGUCUAUUACUCUGUUUCUGCCCUGAAUUACUUUCACUGUGCUUAUUUAAAUACAUGUUGCAUUUGGAUCUCUGAAACAGUGCUGGUACUGCCACUGUCUUUAAUGCAAUGGUUAUUAAUGCAGUAUACAUAAACAAUAUUAAAGCUUAGAGUUCUAGUAUGUUUUACACAACUGCAGUUUUUACAUGUAGAGAAUAAGCUGAAAAAGAACAGCUAACAUAUGCUUUAAUAUCAUUAGUCUGCAUCUUUAGACAUUAAGGGCCCUAUUUUAAAGAUCUAAGCUCAUGGUCUGAAGCUCAUGGUGCAGGUGCAUUUAGAUAAAAGUCUGAAUCCACUUUUGCUAGUUUAACAAUGGAAAAAAAAAUGGUUGUACACCAGGCGCAUGGUCUAAGGGCCAGCACGGCCAUGGAUGAACAGAUCGACGCGAGUGCAUUUGAACAAUGUGACGCAGAACGUGAAAAUGAUAACGUCAGGCUGAAACUAGCAAAAACACAGUUUGCAUUUAUAUUUUCUCUUGAAAACAGGUUUAAUGCUUCUCAGUCUAGAUAAUUAUAUAAGAACCUAUCAUAUAAGGCAGACAACUGUUUUAUGUCACAUAUAAGCUUGAUUAAAAUGUCAACAGAUGUCAUCAAUGAUGAAUGUGUUGUUCAGUGAUCUGAUCAAAUAAACAGCAUUAAAACUAAGAAAUUAUAUGUCUAUAUGUGCAAUUUCUGGCAGAAAGCAAGAUCAUUAGCAAAGCUAAACAUUUUUGUGCAAUGCACAAUCAUGAUUUCCUGAUUGACUGCAUUAUGAUAAUGCAACUAAACCACAAUCUGACUUGCUGACACUAAAGGG